rnacentral:lncRNA from 1 species
AACUUGAAAAUUUUCUAAGUUAAAAAAUACUUAAGAUUGAAAAGGUGUAUCAUUGUUAUAACAACUUUUAACUUAUUUAAAAGAAAGUUUAUGAGCACCUAAAGCUUAUAACAAUGAAUUAUAUAUAUUGUACCUAUGAAAAUUCUUCAUGAACUUGAUCGCCAUCUUCAAUCUUGAACACUUGAUCAUGACCGAUCUUUUUCUUCUUUUCGCAUGUUUGUCGUCAUCAAAAUAACUUCACUUUAGAAGCUUGUCUUCACAUUUCUCUCACCUUCCAUCUCGUCCUUCACAAUCACAACCACCACCACCUGUGAGGGAGUGGCCGAGUGAGAGAUUUGCCAGUGGGAGACAUAGAGUUCCGACCGUG